rnacentral:rRNA from 1 species
CAGUAGCCACGGUAAUACGAAGGGUGCAAGCGUUACUCGGAAUUACUGGGCGUAAAGCGUGCGUAGGUGGUUCGUUAAGUCUGAUGUGAAAGCCCUGGGCUCAACCUGGGAAUUGCAUUGGAUACUGGCGAGCUAGAGUGCGGUAGAGGGUAGUGGAAUUCCCGGUGUAGCAGUGAAAUGCGUAGAGACCGGGAGGAACAUCUGUGGCGAAGGCGACUGCCUGGACCAGCACUGACACUGAGGCACGAAAGCGUAGGGAGCAAACAGGAUUAGAUACCCCGGUAGUCCCUGUCUCUUAUAC